UACGGGGGGGGCAAGCGUUGUUCGGAAUUACUGGGCGUAAAGGGCUCGUAGGCGGCCAACUAAGUCAGACGUGAAAUCCCUCGGCUUAACCGGGGAACUGCGUCUGAUACUGGAUGGCUUGAGUUUGGGAGAGGGAUGCGGAAUUCCAGGUGUAGCGGUGAAAUGCGUAGAUAUCUGGAGGAACACCGGUGGCGAAGGCGGCGUCCUGGACCAAUACUGACACUGAACAGCGAAAGCCAGGGGAGCAAACGGG
rnacentral:rRNA from 1 species